rnacentral:rRNA from 1 species
UACGUAGGGGGCAAGCGUUAUCCGGAUUUACUGGGUGUAAAGGGAGCGUAGACGGACUGGCAAGUCUGAUGUGAAAGGCGGGGGCUCAACCUCUGGACUGCAUUGGAAACUGUUAGUCUUGAGUGCCGGAGAGGUAAGCGGAAUUCCUAGUGUAGCGGUGAAAUGCGUAGAUAUUAGGAGGAACACCAGUGGCGAAGGCGGCUUACUGGACGGUAACUGACGUUGAGGCUCGAAAGCGUGGGGAGCAAACAGG